rnacentral:rRNA from 1 species
AGUGAACGCUGGCGGCAGGCCUAACACAUGCAAGUCGAACGGCAGCACAGAGGAGCUUGCUCCUUGGGUGGCGAGUGGCGGACGGGUGAGGAAUACAUCGGAAUCUGCCUUGUUGUGGGGGAUAACGUAGGGAAACUUACGCUAAUACCGCAUAAGACCUUAGGGUGAAAGCGGAGGACCUUCGGGCUUCGCGCGACAAGAUGAGCCGAUGUCGGAUUAGCUAGUUGGCGGGGUAAUGGCCCACCAAGGCGACGAUCCGUAGCUGGUCUGAGAGGAUGAUCAGCCACACUGGAACUGAGACACGGUCCAGACUCCUACGGGAGGCAGCAGUGGGGAAUAUUGGACAAUGGGCGCAAGCCUGAUCCAGCCAUGCCGCGUGUGUGAAGAAGGCC